GUGCCCAGUGAUUAUAAAAAGACGCGUUAUUCUGAGGAACACACCAGGCUACCAGUCUGUCCUCCACCUUGUGCUCUGUCUUUGAUGUCCAUCUCUCUUAUUCCUCCUCCUCCUCCUCCUCCUCCUCCUCCUCUCUUCUAACUGGUAGCUGGUCCGCUGACUGCGAUUAUGAGAUAUGAGGGCAU